UACAGAGGGGCAAGCGUUGUUCGGAAUUACUGGGCGUAAAGGGCGCGUAGGCGGCCUUCUAAGUCGAACGUGAAAUCCCUGGGCUCAACCCAGGAACUGCGUCCGAUACUGGAAGGCUUGAAUCCGGGAGAGGGAUGCGGAAUUCCAGGUGUAGCGGUGAAAUGCGUAGAUAUCUGGAGGAACACCGGUGGCGAAGGCGGCAUUCUGGACCGAUAUUGACGCUGAGGAGCGAAAGCCAGGGGAGCAAAGCGG
rnacentral:rRNA from 1 species